GAGCUGCUACGAGAGGUUGCCGUAAGUCAUUCUCGUUUAGAAAUUGGAGAGCGGCUGCUUUUUCCGGUCGGCGGCGGUGGAAGCGCGGGAGCCUCCGGCGACGGUUUCUGUCUUUCUCCUCUCCCUCUCUCUCACUCAUAAAUUAGACCAAAAUCGAGAGAAAGGAUUCCUUCUCCAGGAGGUUUUUCUGAGCUAUUUUUUUCUUUCACUCUCACUGACCGGCGUUUCUCGUGCUUCGAUUCUUUUCCACUUGCUGAAGCUUGCAGCAAGUUCCAGAAGAUUGUGGCCGGCCGCUGAGGGGGCAGUUAUAGUAUAUGUUCAUGAUACGAGGUUCAAAAUGAUAGGAUCUUUGCUUACUAGAACCCUCGCAUUGGUUCUUGGAUAUGCUUAUCCAGCAUAUGAGUGCUUCAAAGUUGUGGAAUUGAAUCGCCCAGAGAUUGAGCAGCUACGGUUCUGGUGCAAGUAUUGGAUAUUAGUUGCUGUUCUAACAGUUCUUGAGAGGGUUGGAGACACUUUCAUCUCAUGGUUGCCGAUGUACAGUGAAGCAAAGGUGGCAUUCUUUGUGUACCUUUGGUAUCCAAAGACCAGGGGAGCAACUUAUGUGUAUGAAACCUUCUUACAACCAUAUGUUGCAAGUCAUGAAACUGAAAUUGAUCGCAACCUUUUAGAGCUGAAAACCAGGGCAGGGGAUUUUGCUGUGCUUUAUUGGCAAAAGGUUGCAAACUAUGGCCAGACUCGGGUAUAUGAGGUCUUGCAGUAUGUAGCUUCUCAAGCACCAUCACAACAGUCAAGGCCCCGAACAACUUCGCAGAGGCAACCAUCUCACCAAAGUAGACAAACACCAGCAACAGAAUUACAAUCACCUGCUCCUCAAGCAGCAGCAGCAGCAGUAGCUCAGACACAGCAGCCUAAUCAACCACCUUCCAGUCCCACCAAAAGGGUUGAUCAAGAACCUAUAAAAACUGGAGGUGGCCCUUCUGCAGCCCCAACUCCUUCCCAUACCCACUCAUCAUCGGCCAAUAGCACACAACCUACUGCUUCAGAAAAUACAUCUAGACCAUCAAUAAAUGGGGAAGUAAACCAGAUUGCUGCUUCAACAGCUUCCUCUGCCGCCAAUGCUCAACCUGAGGAUACACCUAUGGAAGAGGCUAUUCGCGUGACACGUGGAAGGUUGAGAAGGAAAGCUGCCUCUAUCGUCCCCCCUUCUGCUCACUAGCCUGAAACAGUCACCCUCUCACUGAUAAAAUAUUCUAGCUUGGAAAUGGGUUAAAGAUGGUGUUCCAUCCCAGGUGGCAAACUUGUUUUACCGCCUCUUUCAACAGCAACAGCUUCUAUGCCUUUCAAAAAGGCUUCAGCACUUCUGCAGACAAUUCUAAUUUAGCACUAUUGAAGAAAAUUGUACAUCCAUGGAGGUAUGAUCCCAAAGUUUAGGGCUAUUAACGGCUGUACACAAAUGAAUGAUGUUUUUUCGAGUUUGCUUUGUUUUUGUUAUUGCUUGAAAUCUUUAUAUUUUUAAUCGGUUCAUUAUUGUUUGACUUCUUUGUUGUUCAUGCGGAGCCAAUUUUUUAAGAUAAAUUAUUCACGAGAGA